UGGGAGCUCAGAGCCUUCGGUUGCGC
rnacentral:piRNA from 1 species